UACCAUGAUGUCAAUUUGUAGGUUGAGGAACGACUGGUGUCCGUGGACGAAUUGCUUGAUGCUGAUGAAGUUUUUUGUACGGGAACAGCAGUGGUUGUUUCUCCUGUGGGUAGCAUUACUCAUCAAGGGAAAAGGGUAACAUAUGGAAAUAAUGGGGUUGGUCUUGUGUCGCAGCAAUUAUACUCUGCACUUACUAGGCUACAAAUGGGACUCACAGAGGAUAAGAUGGGUUGGAUUGUCGAGCUUAAGUGAGCUUCCAAUCAAGAGUAGUAUUUUCUGUUGGUGCAAAAAAUUUUAACUUGGAAGUUUUCAGACACUUGUGAUCCAGAAUGUAUCUUGAUUAUUCAUCCCAUGAUGCUUGUCAAGUAUAUCUGUGUAUUUGAUAUGUAUCCUUCAUCUAUAAAUAGUCAUUUCCACCCAAAAUUUGCUGAUUA